rnacentral:rRNA from 1 species
GAUGAACGCUGGCGGCGUGCCUAAUACAUGCAAGUCGAGCGAACAGACGAGGAGCUUGCUCCUCUGACGUUAGCGGCGGACGGGUGAGUAACACGUGGAUAACCUACCUAUAAGACUGGGAUAACUUCGGGAAACCGGAGCUACUACCGGAUAAUAUAUUGAACCGCAUGGUUCAAUAGUGAAAGACGGUUUUGCUGUCACUUAUAGCUGGAUCCGCGCCGCAUUAGCUAGUUGGUAAGGUAACGGCUUACCAAGGCGACGAUGCGUAGCCGACCUGAGAGGGUGAUCGGCCACACUGGAACUGAGACACGGUCCAGACUCCUACGGGAGGCAGCAGUAGGGAAUCUUCCGCAAUGGGCGAAAGCUUGACGGAGCAACGCCGCGUGAGUGAUGAAGGUCUUCGGAUCGUAAAACUCUGUUAUUAGGGAAGAACAAAUGUGUAAGUAACUAUGCACGUCUUGACGGUACCUAAUCAGAAAGCCACGGCUAACUACGUG